rnacentral:lncRNA from 1 species
UGAACUUGGGUCACACUUGACCUGGUUUAGGGGUGGGUCUUGGGUUUGACUCAGUUAACCCCUUGGGUUAUCUACUUUCCCCAAGUGAAAGGAAGCCCAGAUUGGGCCCAAUCAAUUUUGACAAAGGCUCAAUAUACAAAAAAACCAAAAAAUAAUAACAAUCUAAUUAACUUAAUUCUAAUAAUUCAUUAAUAAUAUUAUUA